rnacentral:rRNA from 1 species
GACAGAGGAGCCAAGCGUUGUCCGGAUUGACUGGGCGUAAAGCGUCCGCAGGCGGUUUUGUAAGUCUGUCGUGAAAGCCCCGGGCUCAACCUGGGAAUUGCGAUGGAGACUGCAAGGCUUGAAUCUGGCAGAGGGGGGUAGAAUUCCACGUGUAGCAGUGAAAUGCGUAGAGAUGUGGAGGAACACCGAUGGCGAAGGCAGCCCCCUGGGUCAAGAUUGACGCUCAUGCACGAAAGCGUGGGGAGCAAACAGG